ACUGCACGGCUCGCUCGCGCGCAAUGAGCGCUUUUGCUGUUUUAAUUUUUGCCUGAAAUACUUUUUGAGCUAAUUUCGAAUUGGUAGUUUUGUUUAUACCGUCGGUUGGUUGGCGUCAUAUUUUGUAUGCGAAAGCAAGCGCAGCACUGUGUAAAAGUUUACAACGCUAGCACAACUGUUGCACAAAUUCAAUCAGAGAUUUAACAAAAAUAAAUAAAUACAAAAGAAACCCUCAACGCACAAAACCAGCAAUAACAAACACACAGCAACAGCAACAGCAGCUGCCAGCGGCAACAGCCACAACAGCAACAGCUACAACAGCAACAACAGCGAUAGACGAAAAAAGCUUGCGCGCCUUUUUUUUAAUGUAUAUGUAUGUAUGUACAUACAGACAUAUGUAUGAAGAUAUAUAAUUUUUUUGUUGUUACUCUCAUCAGUGUGCAUAAUAAAUGAAACAGCUACAACAACAAUAACAUCUUAACACAUGUUGAUGUUAUUUAAAUUUCAAUUUAGUUAAAGAAAAGCAAAAGGCGCGCCCAGAUAAGAUACAGUUAAGCGGAAAAGCAACAACGAAAACACAGCAACAGCAGCAACCGCAACAGAAACAACAAAAACAACAGCAACAGCAACAACGGCAACGGCAACCACAGCAACGGACGACAACAAAAACAGCAGCAGCAGCUCCACCUGCAAACGAGAGUCAAAAGAAAAGCUUACAGAGCAACAAGAAGUUGAAUCAGAAUAAGAAGAAGCAAGAGACGAAGAA